AUUGAACGCUGGCGGCAGGCCUAACACAUGCAAGUCGAACGAGUGGCGGACGGGUGAGUAAUGUAUGGGAACCUGCCUGAUAGAGGGGGAUAACUACUGGAAACGGUUGCUAAUACCGCAUACCAUCGGAUGUGCCCAGAUGGGAUUAGCGAGUUGGUGGGGUAAAGGCUCACCAAGGCGACGAGCCAUAGCUGGUCUGAGAGGAGGACCGGCCACACUGGAACUGAGACACGGCCCAGACUCCUACGGGAGGCAGCAGUGGGGAAUAUUGCACAAUGGGGGCAAGCCUGAUGCAGCCAUGCGGAGGGUAUGAAGAAGGCCUUGGGGGUGUAAAGUACUUUCAGCGGGGAGGCGUUACCCGCAGAAGAAGCACCGGCUAACUCCGUGCCAGCAGCCGCGGUAAUAC
rnacentral:rRNA from 1 species